rnacentral:rRNA from 1 species
UACGGAGGGUGCAAGCGUUGCUCGGAAUUAUUGGGCGUAAAGGGCAGGUAGGUGGUCUUAUUUGUCUGAUGUGAAAUCCUUGGGCUUAACUCAAGAAGUGCGUCAGAAACGGUAAGACUCGAGUCAAGGAGAGGUCAGCGGAAUUCCCGGUGUAGCGGUGAAAUGCGUAGAGAUCGGGAGGAACACCUGAGGCGAAGGCGGCUGACUGGACUUGUACUGACACUCAACUGCGAAAGCGUGGGGAGCAAACAGG